AGCCACCAAUCCUAUUUGUCUAUUCUUCUUCUUUUACCCACAAUCCAUGUCGAGGCCGACCAUUGCCAAAAUCAACAGGAACAAAAUAUGAUGUUAUAGGAAAUCUGUAUAGACGGGCUGGCUACCUGUGCCAACGGCCGGAUACAACUAGCCAUCAUAAGAACCGUAUUUGAAUCAAUUUGGUCUAGGAUAUUUUUCGAGUGCGUCUCUAUUAACAGUAGGGUCAGCAUCUUGCGAAAAAAGGAUGUACUAUGGAUUUUGACGUGGAAAAUUUCAAAAUUUUCCUUCCAGCAGUAUUCAGUUUACAUCUUGAAAAUAGUUGUACAGGAGGUCUUUAGUAAAUGAAAAGGUAAAGUUCCUAUUAAUAUAACAGUAACUUUAAUUUCAUCAGCUCUUGAGUAGAAGGUCAUUAUUUUUCUUCUUAUUAAGGUGAUUUCAUGGCCUACUUACAAAAUUUACCCAAUAUUGCCAAUUCCAAGUUCUAUCUUUACUUUGCUUGAGGUUGCAUCAUGUUCUUGGCAAGGAAAGAACCGAUAUUAUUGGGAUUUAAUUUGCUUUAAUUAGAAGUUGAGAUUUUAUCCUGACUCCUAAUCGUUGCUCUUCAACAAGAACACAUGAAUGCCUUCCUGUUCCUCCUUUCACUUUUUUUUUUUUUUUUUUUUUUUGUGUGUGUUUGAAUUGAAUUGAUAUAUUUAAAUCUUCUAUUUAGGAUUUAUAUUUACAUGUACGUUGCAUCUCGCUAAUUUCCUCCUUUCCUCGGUUGUUUGUUUAUUCGAAACAAAUUCCCCUCUCCAGGUUUUUUGGGGCUUAUUAUUAUGUUUUUGUAUAAAGCUUAAUUUAUCGUGUAUUGAUAUUCUUGCUCUUAAUACUAUUGACAUCUUUAUGUGAUGCCGGAGUCUAUGCAGGGAUGAGAAUGAACUAUGAUCAUGGAGUUUAAUUACUUCCCCUCUUAAUAUUACAAUAGCAAUACGGCUGAAGGUAGAGUAAUUUGGGCUAAAAUGAUGUAUAGAUAAUGAUCCCCACAAAGUCAUAAUUGAAAUUGAUUCUCCACGAUGGCAUUUGAGGGAGAUUAUUAGUAGAUUCAAGACCUAUUGAUAUGACUAACUGUACAAUACAAUGUUGUUAUAGAGAAGCAAAUCAGUAGUUGACGCUUUUGCCCAGUAGAGUAUUGAUAACUCGAGUCUUAUUCUCCAUUCCAACGAUAAUCUGCCUCAAAGGGCUAGGAGCUUAUAUAGACUUGAUUUAUUUUAGAUGACCUUUUUCCAACAUAUGCACAAGACUUACAGUUUUUUGUGAGCUUUCUCCUUCUGUGUAAUCUUUCUCUGUUGUAAGUGGCAGGCAUAAUCUUUGUAUUUUCGCCAACUUUAGGUAGGCUUAAUCUUUA